rnacentral:lncRNA from 10 species
GCUGACCUAUCUGGAGGCAACAGGAACAUGGUAAUCUGUUCUUAUUCUAAUGGAUCUUCCAUAACGUUUCCCACAAAGAAUUACUAACCAUUCAUGACCUUCAUCAAAUAACGAGCUCAUCACAAUGACUGGCAUAUGGUAAAUGAAUAUUAAUCCAAGGGGAGGAAGGAUGGAAGCUAGAAGGAAAGGAAGGAAGAAAAGGAGAGAAGAAGGUGGAAAAGAAGAAGGAAGGAAGAGGAAUGAAUUUAAGAAUGAACGAUUCAAUACAAACAUAGAAGAAAACUUUUUUGAGUAUGAGAGAUGGGUGGUGUUAACCAUUUAGAAAGGUGGAGAGGUGGUGUCUUAGCUAACGGUUUAGAAUCUGGGUCUUUAAAUGAAGCCUUAACUUAUUCUUUACCCUCAGGCAAAUAGCUUGGCUCUCAGGACCUCAGUUUUCUCUUCUGCAAAAAAGCUGUCAUCUCUAGCUCUGAAUGCAAUAAUUUUAUAAAAGUAGCUUUCAAAUGAAUGUGGGGACAGAUUUCUGUCAUCCAGAGCACAAUUGGUUGCAAAUUGCAGUAUGAUUCUUGUGGAUGCUCCAUGUGAGGAAAGGAUCAUGGGAAGAGUCUGUAUUCAGGAAGGUAAGUGCCCAUAUACAGAAUCUAAGCUUUUUGAUUCAUCUUUGAUUGAAUAUUCAUUCUACUUCUAAUAAUAUAGAUGGAAGAGUUAUUUUUCUUCAAAUUUAUAUUCAGUAACACCCUCAACAUCUCUCAAAUUACUAGUGUCAGUUGAGACAAGAACAAAACAAGAAUGUUAAAAAUACCUUGUGUCUCUAUGCCAUUGCCACAAAAACUCAACAGCCAGCUUGCUUGCCGGCAAAGGCUUUCUUUUCAGGGAAGAUAAUUUGCAUGUGGGGCUCCAUUCAAGUACUUUGAAAAUGUGUCCAAGGAAACUUAGCAAUUGAAAUGAUUAUCAGAAACUGGUUGUGUUUUUCAUUCUAAAUCAGACUGAUUUCCAAGACACUCUUGGUGUGCUAGAGGAGGAUGAAGAGAGGGCAUUUGGAGCCCAUUCUUAGUCUUCAAACUUUCAGGACACUUGAAAUGUAUUCUCUAGUUUGGCCUAUGGUAACUCAGUCUGUUUCCCUGUUUCAUUACUCCAGUGUUGGCA